GUGCUCCCUUCAGCAGCACAUAUACUAAAAUUGUUAAAAUAUAGAGAAGAUUGGCAUGGCCCGUGUGCAAAGAUGACAUACAAAUUCAUGAAGCAUUCCAUAUUUUU